GACGCACGCUGGCGGCGUGCCUAAUACAUGCAAGUCGAACGCAGUGGGGCCGGGUGAGUAACACGUGGGUAACCUCCCAUCAGAGGGGAUCACACUUGGAAACAGGUGCUAAACCGAUAUUGAUUGAUGGACCCGCGGUGCAUUAGCUAGUUGGGUAGGUAACGGAUCACCAAGGCCACGAUGCAUAGCCGACCUGAGAGGGUGAUCGGCCACACGGGGACUGAGACACGGCCCAGACUCCUACGGGAGGCAGCAGUAGGGAAUCUGAGGCAAUGGACGAAAGUCUGACCGAGCAACGCCGCGUGAGUGAAGAAGGUUUUCGGAUCGUAAAACUCUGUUGUUAGAGAAGCGGUAUCUAACCAGAAAGCAACGGCUAACUACGUGCCAGCAACCGCGGUAAUUC
rnacentral:rRNA from 1 species